rnacentral:rRNA from 1 species
AAAAGCCCAGCGCUGAAUCCAUCGGCCACUGGUCGCUUGGAGUUGUAGCGUAUAGGUGCGGCUGUCCGUUCGUUUCGCGCACCCAAAGUCCCCUUGAGCGGGGCUACAGUCCGAAGAAGGUGCUAGACCUGUACGGGUGGCGAGACGAUCGGUUGGUCGCUCCUUGGAGUCGGGUUGCCUGGGAUCGCAGCCCAAAGUUGGUGGUAGACCUCAUCUAAGGCUAAAUAUGGCCACGAAACCGAUAGCAAACAAGUACCGUGAGGGAAAGUUGCAAAGAACUUUGAAGAGAGAGUUCAAGAGGGCGUGAAACCGCUGAGAUGGAAACGGAUAGAGUUGACGGAGCUCUGCUGCAUUCACCCGAUCGGCCCAGCGGUCCGACGGCUUUGACUUCCUCGAUGAGGGCAAGGCUGUUGGUAGCUGUUGGGUGUUUGAUCGGUGUAUUUGCGGCUGGUAUGCGCUGAGGGCUUUGUGAGCGCAUGUCGACGGGCGUGGAGUGGACCAUACCUUUCCGGUGUGGAACCCUUCGCGCUCUUAGGCAUGUCGCUUGUAAAGUUUUAAGUGCCGUCUCCGCUGUGGUGCAUCGGCUUUGUCGAGCUGUUGUGGCUUCAGGCUGGUCGCAUGCGACCGUCGGUCGUCGUCAACGGCGCGCCAAAGCACAGAUGCGCCGAGAUGUGCACCUCGGUGUGAACGUUGACCACCUAUC